GACGAACGCUGGCGGCGUGCUUAACACAUGCAAGUCGAACGGAAAGGCCCUGCUUUUGUGGGGCGCUCGAGUGGCGAACGGGUGAGUAACACGUGAGUAACCUGCCCCUGACUUUGGGAUAACUUCACGAAACUGGGGCUAAUACCGGAUAGGAGCUCCUGCUGCAUGGUGGGGGUUGGAAAGUUUCGGCGGUUGGGGAUGGACUCGCGGGUUAUCAGCUUGUUGGUGGGGUAGUGGCGUACCAAGGCUUUGACGGGUAGCCGGCCUGAGAGGGUGACCGGCCACAUGGGGACUGAGAUACGGCCCAGACUCCUACGGGAGGCAGCAGUGGGGAAUAUUGCACAAUGGGCGGAAGCCUGAUGCAGCAACGCCGCGUGCGGGAUGACGGCCUUCGGGUUGUAAACCGCUUUCGCCUGUGACGAAGCGUGAGUGACGGUAAUGGGUAAAGAAGCACCGGCUAACUACGUG
rnacentral:rRNA from 1 species